rnacentral:rRNA from 1 species
GACGAACGCUGGCGGCGUGCUUAACACAUGCAAGUCGAGCGGUAAGGCCCUUUCGGGGGUACGACGAGCGGCGAACGGGUGAGUAACACGUGGGUGACCUGCCCUCAGCUCUGGGAUAAGCCUGGGAAACCGGGGUCUAAUACCGGAUAUGACUCCAUGACGCAUGUUGUGGGGUGGAAAGCCUUGUGCGGCUGAGGAUGGGCCCGCGGCCUAUCAGCUUGUUGGUGGGGUGAUGGCCUACCAAGGCGACGACGGGUAGCCGGCC